AGGAGGGCCACCUGCUUUGAGGCGGCCAGGGGGUAUUGCUGCUCAGACCCAGGGGCCUCUGUGGAGGGUCUGGGUGGCCCUGGGGGCAGCUCCAGGCUACCUGUGCCGGGUUUUCACUUUGACAAUGAGAGGAGGGUGCCUUGGAGGUGAUUGGAAGCCAGCAUGUGUCACCCAGCCCUGCAGAGAAAGGAAUCACAGCAGACAGCCCUGCCCAGCCGAGAAGAAGAGCUUGGGCUAGCCAGGAAAAGAAGAGGCCAAAUCCCAGCCUUCUAGCAAAGAGAUUCACGGGGACAGAUUAUAACUUUCUUCCGAGGUGAGAUCAAAGGCUCUGUGAGAGGCCUGCUUGUCUUUUUCUGGCAAAGCAAACUUCCCCACAUCUGUUCUGGCCGGCUCCACUAGGAAAAAAAAAGCUAUCAGGGUGCUGCAGAAGUCAGGACAACUUCCCAGGGAUGAUUCUCAGCUCCCGCCCUGGAUGUCACAGUUUAGCUACAGAAACCGAGUGGCCCAAAUAUCUGGAGGCUGAAGAUAAAUUGACAAAGAGGCGGGCCGCGCACGCUCUCACGCUUCGGCAGCUCAGAUACCUGUUACCUGGCGUUAAUUGCAUUUACAGCGGGAGAGAGAGCUUGGGCUCUCACCAGGUACCAAUUGCACGUGUGUGUUUAACUUUUUAUGGAGACUUUUAUUAACUUUUCAUUCUGGAAAUGCAUGCAUAUCCUCCCUGUGCAGCUUGAAAAAUGUUCACAGCGUGAACGCCCGUGUCACCAGCGCUCAGCUCAACACACAGAAGAUCACCCAUCCUCAGGAAGCUGCUUCUGUGCCCCAGCUUGUUUACUGAGUGUUUGCAUAAAAUAUUCACUGAUUCAUGAGUGUGGGUCAGUAAUAAAAGCCACUCCACGUUGUUAUUCCAAAGAGGAGUGAGUUUAUCCCCAAGAUUAGUUCUAGAGUCCCUGGAAGGAGAGAGAGAGAGAGAGAGAGAGGGAGAGAGUUUGAGAAAAAAGAAGAGAGCUUUCUCUCUUUCUGUCUCUCAAGUCAAGGACACAGACCUGGUAGAAAAGGCCUUGCUUUUUCAAUUACCCAGGUUCUUGGUGCCCACACGAGGAGUAAAUGCUAUUGUUUUGACUUUCUCCACCCGACAGGCCAGUCGCCACAGGAAGGAGGAGAAGCCCAGCCCAGCUGGCUGCUCAAUGUGGCACCUUCAUCGUCUGCCUACUGGCUCACUCACCUCCUCCUGCUACCUUUGAUCUGGGUGGCGCUUCUGCUCUCAGCCAGGGAAAUGAUAGUGUGGUUAAGCAGCACUGUUAGGGGCCUGGGUCCCGGGCUGGGACCAACCUCCCCACACCCAGAGGGUGCUUUCCUCCUAGCUCGGGCCCUGAUAUACACCAGGUCUACAAAAGUACGGCGUUGAGCCGUGUCGAUCCAGGUGAUGCUUUAAAUAUUUUCCAGCAAGGCUGUGAACGGUAAAAAGAGAAUUCAGAAGCUGGCUGAGAGCUGGCCUGGGCAGCUGGCAUCAACGUGUGCCCACCUUGUGCCAGGCUCUUUAAGUGCAUGAUGGCACUUCCCCUCACGUUGACUCCGUAAGGAAGGCAGGAUCACACCAGCUGGAGAUGAUGAGAAUCUUGAGGCUCCGAGAGGUGGCGGGGACCUCGUUAGCAUGACACAGCUGCAGGUGACCAGGAAGCCCACAAAAAGCUGCUCAGCAUCAUCAGAGAAGUGGAAAUGAAAACCACCCUGAGGCAGUGGAAGCAAUUGAAGGCCCACCACUGACGCGUGGACAGAUCGGCCGCACUCCAUCCGUCCAGUGGCGUAAGACUCAGCCAUAAAGAGGGGCGAGGCGCUGGCACAGGCUAAAGCACGGAGGAGCCUCGGAAACACGACGCUGCGCGGAAGAAGCCACGCACACACGGCCGUGUAUUGCGUGAUUCCACGGAUGUGACACGUCCAGAACAGCUGCUGCGGAAAUGCUUUUAUAAAAUACAUGAAGGAAUCGAGGUACAUUUAAUCAUCUCUGUAUCUUAAUCAGGAACAUUUAUCAAAGCCCUUUAUUAGGGGAAAUUUGAAAUGUAUACCAACGGAGAGAAAAUACGAUGGCUCCUGGUGGAUUUAUUACACUGCUGCAGCGAUCCUCAAACUGAGGCCGGCCUCUGUGGUCUCUAUGCCUACUCCUUCCAUGAACCCCACGGGGAAGUCUGAAGCAGCUUCCAGAUACCACAGCGGCAUUUCAUGAGUAAAUAAGAAUGCUAUUUUUGAGUAGCCCAAGAGUUGUGCUGUUCUCACCGGGGAUGCUUAACUAUGACCUUGGAAAAGCUCCUCCUCGCCCUGGCAGGGGUCAAAGUCGCUAGGAGGUGGGUCACUGGCUGGAACAAGCCAGGUGUGAAAAGUCAGCGCUCGCAGGGGACCCCAGUCUUGAAUGUUCACCUUCCAGGACAGCGUCUUCUGACGGGUCCUGGGCAUGAGCGCCGCGCUCCUCGGGAAGCACACAGAAGUGUUUUUAUUGGAUCAUCUGUGAUGUCGCAGAGUGGGGAGUCAAGUCGCCGGCACUCCCUGACAGGCUGUGCUAUUCCAGGCACCCUCCUUUAACCUCUAGCUGCAAAGCUUCCUCCUCUAACUUUCCUUCUGCUGUGCUUUCCCGAAGCUGACAGCAGCACCUUGACCGCAGUGUUAUGGUUCUCAAAGUUUUCUGUCCAUUGGAAUCUGCCGGGCAGCUGGCUAAAAAUCUUGACUGCUCUCAUACAUCACUGAUGGACGUGCGGGUUGAUACAACUUAACGGGGAAUGCAAUGGGGUCAAAACUAUCCAACAUUUCAAAUGCAUAUACCAUUUGACCCUGAAAUAGGAAACUGUCUUAGACAGACUUGCCCACGUGGAUUUUUUAUUACACCAAAAUACCUGGAAGCCAUCUAAAAUGGCUAGCCACAUAAAAACAUGGAUGGCAGUCCCUCCGUACGAUGUAAUAUAAUGCAGGCAUUAAAAAGGAAAAGGGAAAUUUUAAAAAAGAAAGGAGCAAGGUGCAGAACUACGGAAACAAUGUUACCACGGGAGGAAGGAAGACAGAAUACAUGUGUAUGUCCUUGUGUGUAGGUAUCAAUAUAUAGAUACUAUGAUGGUUCGUUUCAUGUGUCAACUUAACUGGACUAAGGGAUUCCCAGAUAGCUGGUUAACAUUCUUUCUAGGUGUGUCUGUGAGAUUGUUUCUGGAAAAGAUUGUCAUUUGAGUUGUUAGAUUGAGCAAAGAAGGUCUGCUCUUGCUAGCGUGGGUGGCAUCAUCCAGUGUGUGGGAAGUCCAAAUGGAGCACAGAGGCGGAGAAGGGGCGAAGUUACUCGCCCUGUGUGAUCUGGAACAUCCAUCCUCUCCGGCCUGCAGGCAUCAGAGCUCCUGGGCCGCCGGCCUUUGGACCCGGAUCAAGACUUACACUACCUGCCCCUGCUUCUCAGGCCUUCGGACUUGCACCAAAUGACUCUACAAGCUUUUCUGGUUCUCCAACUUGUAGGCAGUAGAUCAUAAGGCUUCUUGGCCUCCAU
rnacentral:lncRNA from 1 species